rnacentral:rRNA from 1 species
GAUGAACGCUGGCGGCGUGCCUAAUACAUGCAAGUCGAGCGAACAGACGAGGAGCUUGCUCCUCUGACGUUAGCGGCGGACGGGUGAGUAACACGUGGAUAACCUACCUAUAAGACUGGGAUAACUUCGGGAAACCGGAGCUAAUACCGGAUAAUAUAUUGAACCGCAUGGUUCAAUAGUGAAAGACGGUUUUGCUGUCACUUAUAGAUGGAUCCGCGCCGCAUUAGCUAGUUGGUAAGGUAACGGCUUACCAAGGCAACGAUGCGUAGCCGACCUGAUAGGGUGAUCGGCCACAUUGGAACUGGAACGCCGACCGGACUCCUGCGGGAGGCAGCAGUAGGGAAUGUUCCGCAAUAGGCGAAAGCCUGGCGGAGCAACGCCGCGUCAGUGAUGAAGGUCUUCGGAUCGUAAAACUCUGUUAUGAGGGAAGAACAAAUGUGUAAGUAACUAUGCACGUCUUGACGGUACCUAAUCAGAAAGCCACGGCUAACUACGUG